rnacentral:rRNA from 1 species
UAAGGAAUAUUGGACAAUGGGGGCAACUCUGAUCCAGCCAUGCCGCGUGAAGGAAUAAGGCCCUAUGGGUUGUAAACUUCUUUUAGACGGGACAAAACCCCUUUACGUGUAAAGGGUUGAUGGUACUGUCAGAAUAAGCAUCGGCUAACUUCGUGCCAGCAGCCGCGGUAAUACGAAGGAUGCAAGCGUUAUCCGGAAUUAUUGGGUUUAAAGGGUGCGUAGGCGGACUAAUAAGUCAGUGGUGAAAGCCUGCAGCUUAACUGCAGAAUUGCCAUUGAUACUGUUAGUCUUGAGUACAGUUGAGGUAGGCGGAAUGUGUCAUGUAGCGGUGAAAUGCUUAGAUAUGACACAGAACACCGAUUGCGAAGGCAGCUUGCUAAGCUGUAACUGACGCUGAGGCACGAAAGCGUGGGGAGCAAACA